AGAGACGGGAGUACCCAAACCGUGUACGUGCACCUACCAUAAGGCUAUGUACGGAUAAAACAGAUGGAGAAGUUAUUGAGUUGCCAAGUACCAGGGCUGACCCUUCAGGAGUUUUGACACUUUAGAAGUCAUUCCAGAUGCCGAGGCAGAGCAUGGACCUGACUGUGGGUGUGAUGACUAUGCUUUUAAAGGCUAGAGUUAUUGAGUGUCUCAGGAUUUCGUUUUGUGUUUAUGUUUGUAUAUAUUCUGCUACUAUAAAUUAUACUUUGAUUGAUGGAAGAUAUGUAAAAUCUUUUGGGGAUGGAUUGUAUUUCACCCCUUUUGUGAUGUAAUAUAUAGAGUUAUCAUGUAGUUAGACACCAUAAUUAUCUAUUUGAUCUUGUUAUGUGCAUGAUUUUAGUUAUCUUAUGGAUUGUGGUUAUUAACCUGCAA